GACGAACCGUGCGAACGUUGUUCGGAAUCACUGGGCUUAAAGGGCGCGUAGGCGGGUGUGCAAGUCUGCGGUGAAAGCCUCCAGCUUAACUGGAGAAGUGCCGUGGAUACUGCUCAUCUUGAGGAGGGUAGGGGCAUCUGGAACGGUCGGUGGAGCGGUGAAAUGCGUUGAUAUCGACCGGAACUCCGGUGGCGAAGGCGAGGUGCUGGACCCUUUCUGACGCUGAGGCGCGAAAGCCAGGGGAGCAAACGGG
rnacentral:rRNA from 2 species